GAUGAACGCUGACAGAAUGCUUAACACAUGCAAGUCUACUUGAAUUUGGGUUUUUUAACUUAGAUUUGGGUGGCGGACGGGUGAGUAACGCGUAAAGAACUUGCCUCACAGCUAGGGACAACAUUUGGAAACGAAUGCUAAUACCUGAUAUUAUGAUUAUAAGGCAUCUUAGAAUUAUGAAAGCUAUAUGCGCUGUGAGAGAGCUUUGCGUCCCAUUAGCUAGUUGGAGAGGUAACGGCUCACCAAGGCGAUGAUGGGUAGCCGGCCUGAGAGGGUGAACGGCCACAAGGGGACUGAGACACGGCCCUUACUCCUACGGGAGGCAGCAGUGGGGAAUAUUGGACAAUGGACCAAGAGUCUGAUCCAGCAAUUCUGUGCGCACGAUGACGUUUUUCGGAAUGUAAAGUGCUUUCAGUUGGGAAGAAAAAAAUGACGGUACCAACAGAAGAAGUGACGGCUAAAUACGUG
rnacentral:rRNA from 1 species